rnacentral:rRNA from 1 species
UACGGAGGGUGCGAGCGUUGUCCGGAAUUACUGGGCGUAAAGAGUGUGUAGGCGGUGCUCUAAGUUCGGUGUGAAAUCUCCUGGCUCAACUGGGAGGGUGCGCCGGAAACUGGAGUGCUUGAGCGUGGGAGAGGAAAGCGGAAUUCCUGGUGUAGCGGUGAAAUGCGUAGAUAUCAGGAGGAACACCUGUGGUGUAGACGGCUUUCUGGACCAUAGCUGACGCUGAGUCACGAAAGCGUGGGUAGCAAACAGG